UCCAUGGACCAGGAAAUUCGCUUUCCGUGUAGUGAUGGCAGCAGAAACGAAUUGAGGGCAGGACCGAGAUUCUUCUCGGCUACGGCGUGUGUCAUUUGGAAGCUGAAGACCCGGGGACGGAGGCAACUGGCGUCGCCGGCAUGCCGCCAUGGAGUUUCUGGUGCAACUAAUUAGCAGAUUUAGUCUGCUUGAGGAGGUAGGGGAGCCGGUUCCUGUGGUUGUCAAUGUCUCUGCCAUGGCGGAUCUGCAAGUGGCAUUGCAGGCGGAGCGGGAGGCAGCGCAACGGCGGUGGACAGCGGCGAAGCACAAAUCUUCUUGGCAAAGGAGGCGGCGGCGAACAGAAGGGAGAGCUCGCCACCAAAGUCGGAGCUGUCGACGGGGAAGAUGAAUCCCCAAGCACCGGGGUGGAACAAAAGGUGGAGAGGCGUCCCAAUGAUAGCCACAACAAGUUCAGGAAGAAUCUUGGAGCACCUUUUGUCAAGGAUUUGAACUUUUCAAGCCAUCUCUGCUCUCUUUCGGCUCCGCUUGAUGGAUGACCAAAAGUAGCUUUAUAUCCCCAUGAAAGUCUCGAAUGUUCCAAUUGUGAGGGUUUGAUUGAGAUAUGGAAAAGCCACAAGAAGAAUCGUGCUUCUGUUCUACCUAUUCUCCUUGAAAUCCAAGAGCUCAGUGGUUCUUUUUUUUUAUUUUCCAGUUCAGCUUUGUAAGGCUUGAGUUAAAUUUAGCUGCACAUUUAACUGCCAAACAUGCUUCUAGCUCCUUGCCGGAGUGUGCGCGGUUCUACUAGGUCCCGGCAUCUCUGAACAAUUGUAUACAGCAUGAACUUGCUGUUGUUGGUCAAGUAAUAUAAGCUAUUGCUUCCCCAAAAAACACAGUUGGCUUGCAGGGUAAAGACACCAUGCCCGUCGCACGUGACUGCCUUUUGUUUCUGAACAAUCAUAGGUGCAGCACAGCCUUGCAGGACACUGUGCCUGUCACGCGUGACUGCCUAAAAGCCAUGAGCGGUUUUGCAUAGAACCCUACAGAGAAUGUGAUUGUACCACAGUAGAUACAAGUUUCGACUCCCUCGGAGAGGCGUACAAUUUUUACAACAUAUAUUCAUGGGAGAAUGAUUUUGGCAUAAGGUAUUGGAAGAGCAGAUUGAGUGUAGAGAGGACGUAUUGCAUGCAGGAUAUCAUCUGCGGAUGCUUGGUGAGUACCAUGAAAAUGUGUCCCCGUAUGGUUUGAAACUUUGUUCAGUUUUAUCAAUGAACUGUCCUAUUCCUGAAAUGUAAGCCAUCGAUUUUAUCCGUGUGAAUCAGAUUCCAGUCAAACAUAUAGUGAAGAGGUGGACAAAGGAAGCCUACUGCCAGCACACCUGGCCCAUUAUCAUAAGGAUCAAAUGUAUAGGAAUCCAUUCUCGUAUUGACACAUCAGAAUGUACAUGCAGAGGUGCUGAAUGUGAUUUGGACUGCAGAGAAGGGAAAGUUGUGAGUGCGGAUCUGAACUGUUCAUUAUGUAAUUCGAGAUACAGUUUUUAGAGUCGUAACUGACGAUGAUCCAUUUCACAUGUAUUGUUUUGGUGUUGUAUUGAUCUGCUGUUGUUGCA